GUCCCUUAGAUGUUGUUAAUUCUCAGUAUAGUACUUGAAUAAAUUUGGGAUUGAGGAGAAAAGCAUCAGCAGCUGCUCCACGCUUGGAUCCCAAGUUUCUUCUCAAGGACAGUCUGGGACCUGGCAGUCAUCCUUUCGAGUGGCUCGAGUGGAGAAGAAUUUAUAAAAGGACAGACAAGAGUUUCAAGAGCCAUCUUCUGACCAUAAGGAUGAGAGCCACACACUAAGGAUGGUGGAACACAAGGACGCAAGGAACCCGGUCUCCAAUGGUACCUUGGGCGAUCACACAAAGCCCAGACUGCCAACCACUGGAAUUCUCCUUAUUCAAGAAAAAUAAAUAUCUAAUUUGU